rnacentral:rRNA from 1 species
UACAGAGGUCUCAAGCGUUUGUUUCGGAUUUCAUUUUGGGCGUAAAGGGUGCGCAGGUGGCGAGGCAAGUCGGAUGUGAAAUCCCGGGGCUCAACCCCGGAACUGCAUUCGAUACUGCCUUGCUAGAGUGCUGGAGAGGAGAUUGGAAUUACGGUGUAGCAGUGAAAUGCGUAGAUAUUGGGAAGAACACCGGUGGCGAAGGCGGCUCACUGGCUCAUUAACUGACGCUCAGGCGCGACAGCGUGGGGGGGAUCAAACAGG